UGCAAGGAGCAGUGUUACAUCCUCGCCUGGCAAUGGAUGCCUUUAACUUCCUCACCCCGCCCUAGGAGGAGAUCUGGUCACCCUGGACUGAUUUCCCACGUGACCUCCAUCAGUGGGAGCUAAGUCAUGGCUGCUGCUCAAAGUGGGAGAGGUGGACUUGUCCCAGUCCCUGCACAAACCACCUCACACAUCUAUACCACCUGCCUGCCCUUGGAGGAAUUUCAGUUCGAGAUCCCUGGCCUAGUUCAGUCCUUUGAUUGUGCUAUUGCGGAAACUGAGGCCCAAAGAAAGAGAGGCAGGCAAUGAUGAUGUCCGAGAAGGAGUGAGGAGAAAUGAACGCCGUAGACCUGAGAUGUUGGCCCUAGGCCACCUCUCCAGGCUUCUCCCAGUUCAAACCCUGUGACCUGCAUCUAGAGCUCACACCUGGA
rnacentral:lncRNA from 13 species